CGGUGGUGGAAGCGGAGGUGGUGGAAGUGGCAAAGGUGGAAACGGAGGUGGUGGAAGCGGAGGUGGUGGGAGCGGAGGUGGUGGAAGUGGCAAAGGUGGAAUCUAGGACCUUGGAACACUGAGUUCUUAGCCCAGCCCAAAAUGCUUGUUGGUCGCAGGCGCGAGAUUUCGGAAGAAGACGACAAUGUCAAGUCGCAUUCUAGUUUGCUUUUCCCUUUCCCUGAAAAAAAAUAUCCAGUUAAAGCCGAGUUAUUUGUGUUUAUUUUAAUUUCAUGUUAUUUACCUGAAGUGUAUGUUCUUUAUGUUUUUCAUAUGAAUUCUUUCUUACAAUGUCAGACUUGGGAUUUCGAAAUGUAUCUGUAUAUGUCAGUUUGCCUUUAUCAUAUUGCAUAUUAUACACUUUCGUCAUGUUUACAUAAGAUAAUAUAAAUAGGGAAAAUCUGAAUAGCAAUCCAUUGAAGGUGGUGGCAGUGUUCACCGAAACUGUUUGAUUAAAAAUAUAACUCUAUUGUCUGCCA